UACGAAGGGGGCUAGCGUUGCUCGGAAUUACUGGGCGUAAAGGGCGCGUAGGCGGCCUUCUAAGUCGAACGUGAAAUCCCCGGGCUCAACCCGGGAACUGCGUCCGAUACUGGAAGGCUUGAAUCCGGGAGAGGGAUGUGGAAUUCCAGGUGUAGCGGUGAAAUGCGUAGAUAUCUGGAGGAUCACCGGUGGCGAAGGCGACAUCCUGGACCGGUAUUGACGCUGAGGCGCGAAAGCGUGGGGAGCAAACAGG
rnacentral:rRNA from 1 species